rnacentral:lncRNA from 1 species
AAAAAGAUUAUUUGCUAUGUUCGGACCACCUCCUUUCUGCCAUUUGGAUGAUCAGCUGCACUCAUAUUACCUUAUGUCACCAAGACGGUGAAGACAAGUUUCUGAAAUGAUUUUUCAUCCAAAGCCCUGAAAUGAUUUUGGGAAAGUCGAUAUUUUAAAAGGCCAUUUUCCUGAGAUAAGAACUGAGUUUGACGUCUGGGAUGAGGAUCUUGAUCAAGAGAAACAACCUUCACACCAAAGGGGGAUGCCUUG